GCUUGAAUGCAAGAAGAAUUACGUAAAGUUUAUUGCAAGUAUACGUACACGCAUGUGUGUUAUAUAUAACAUGAAAUGCAUCUGCAAAAUGAGCUUAUUACCCAUGUUAUGAAAAGUGAAGCCCUUUCAAAACCUUUUUCUUUUCUACCUCCUAGACUUUUGGGACAUGACUUUGAGGUCACCAAAUGAAGAGGAGUGGGAAAAGGGGUUUGCAGAAGAAAGUUGCCUCUUGCUGUCCUUCUAUAAACAUGUCUAAAUAUGAUCAAGUUACUAAACUGCAGCUUACACAUGAGUGGAGAUUUUCCAGAGAGAAAUAGAUAAUCAUGAAACGAUUUCUUCUCAGCAGUUCAUGAACUGUCUUUUUCCAUUUGGUUUUCCUUCCUCGGACAAGGUUUGUUCUCCCACCACUUCUGCAUUGGAAAGAUAGAGAGCUGAUAAAGAACAGGUGUUGGCCAUGCAGGAAGAUUACUAACCACAUAUAGAGUCUACAGAUGGCUUUUGAAAGCGUAUCCAGGCUGAUGAUUCCAGUGUGAAGAGGACAUAACAAUAAUGGGCACUCAUAAAAUAUACGUUCAAGAUAUGGUCCUUGGCAUACAUCACAUCAGUGCUUACUGCUGCUCCCCACUGAUGGUUGUCAUGCUACAAAGAGAGAGAACUGAUGAGAAGUGGACUUAGCACAGCCGGAGUUCUUUUGCAUUCUGCAUACUUUCCUGUUCCAUGUGUACACAAAAGGGUAGACAUAGUGCAGAGGCAGGCUGCUACUGAACUGUAGCUGUUCUUACAGGCAACAAAUCUGCUGUUAAGCAGUAGGAGUAGUUACCCUAGGAGUAGUUACCCCUGUUUAAUAGUGUCUUUACAAAAUUAACCUGCCUCCAAGUCUCCUCUGUAGCAUGAAUUAGGCUUAAAGGUCCUCAGAAAAUAAGGCUAAAGAAAUCCACUCAUCAUGAAAAAUAAUAGACAACAUAAUUUGAACAGUAUGUAAUUGAACAAUGUUACUUCCACAAGCAUUUUCUGGCCUUACCUUGUAAAUUAAAUAAAUUCCUGAUAAAUACAUGAAAAUCCAAUAUAAUUACUUUUCUUGUUCAUAUCUCUUGGUUGAGAAAUAUUUAUCUGUGACAAAGCAAAUUUUCUGUACUGUUGAACUACUUUCAUCUGAACAGGUUGUACCUCUUUUGAAUUUAUAUGCUUAGCUGAGAGAGGCUUGCUUGCUUGCUUGCUUGAAAAAGGGAAUUUUGUGAAUCAUGAAAACAGGGAAAUCUCAUAUCCACAAACCACUGUCUAGGAUUUUUGUCUCACAAUUUGCACAUUAACAGAAGAAUUGUUAAUUUUCAAACAUAGUCAUCAGUAACUACUCAGAGUUUUGCCUCAUGAGAUGUGAAACUGUGAAUAGUUUGUUGCUCUGUGAUAAUGCACUGGAAUGAAAAGGAGCUUCAGUAGCCAAAUCCUCAGAUGGUACAAAUUUAUGAAUGUUGCUGAAGUAAAUACACAUUCAUGUAGGCUGCCUCAUGAUGUUCCCUUUCAUUCUCUGGGCAAUGUAUGUCAUCACAUUCACGCAAAUCUAGCAUAGCUAAUGUUAUCCAAGAUGCUAUUUGCAAAGCAUGGUAGCCUUGCUCUCUAUAUAGUGAAAGGAGCAGUCAUUCUCUAUCCAGUUCAUUCUCUCCUCAGUCAAAAAACUGCUCCCAAAUUAUUGGCUCAAGAAAAUAACCAGAAUAUAUUUUUACUUCCAAAGCAGAAAAAAAUAAGCAGUUACUCAAUGGUGUAUUAGAAAUUGAAUAGAAUGGAACUAUAACCAUUUACUAUCAUUGAAAGUUUGCCCCUAGCUUUCAAGUACAUAUUUUUUAUAACUCUUCAUUUUCCACUCACUAGCUUCUAUUACAAAUCACUUAUUUUUCUGGUGCCCAUCAAGUAAAUUCGGACAUCGGGUACUACACAUAAAAAACACUGUGCAAUUAUUCUGUUUUGUCGACUCUAGAGACUGGAACAAAGACAGCACUGAAUCAGGAGUUGGAAGGAGGGUAAAGGAGAAGGAGCCAUUGAAUAACAUGCAGCAGAAAGAUACUGAAAGAAACUCCAGAGGUGAUCUUCAAGAAAAAACAAAAGUAGACUAAGAAGAUAAUGAACCAUGAAAUGGUGAAAGAUGAGGAAGGCAGCAGAAUAAAGAUAUUUGCACUUCUAUUUGGCAGUAACUGCAGCAAAGCAAACUGUAGUUUUUGUUGUUUGUUUGCUUUUUUUUUUGUGCUCAGUGGUACCAAUAUUUCUCUCACAGAUAUUUUAAGAGCAGUAGAGAUAACAUUCAGCAAAGUUAGCAAAAAUAAAUUA